rnacentral:lncRNA from 1 species
UUUACAUGAGUCAGCCAGAAGGUUUUGUCAGUAACGAGUACCCUAAUAGAGUGUGUAAGCUUGAGAAAUCCAUUUAUGGAUUGAAGCAAGCACCUCGCAGAUGGAAUCUUUGCUUUGAUGAGAAAGUCAAGGAAUUUGGCUUUUCUAGGAGUGAAGAUGAAUCUUGUGUGUAUGUCAAGGCUAGUGGGAGUAUAGUUAGCUUUUUGGUAUUGUAUGUGGAUGACAUACUACUCAUAGGAAAUGACAUCCCAACUUUGCAGGAAGUUAAGUCCUGGCUUGGGAAGUGUUUCUCUAUGAAGGACCUAGGAGAAGCUGCCUAUAUUAUAGGGAUAAGGAUUUUGAGAGACCGGAGUAAAAGACUAAUUGGACUUAGUCAAAGUACCUACUUGGACAAGGUGUUGAGGAGAUUCAGCAUGCAUAACUCCAAGAAGGAGAGUUACCCAUCCAAAGUAAUGCCGGAUUGAGUAAGACACAAAGCCCUAGUACUGAGGCUGAGAUAGCAGAAAUGAGUCGAGUACCUUAUGCUUCGGCAGUAGGCUCGAUCAUGUAUGCUAUGACUUGUACUCGACCUGAUGUAGCCUUUGCCUUGAGCAUGGUUAGCAGGUAUCAGGGGAACCCUGGAAAGGCUCACUGGACUGCGGUAAAGAAUAUUCUCAAGUACCUGCGGAGGACAAAGGAAUGGGUCCUUACUCUUGGUGGGAGUGAUGACUUGAGAGUUGUAGGGUAUUGUGAUGUUGGCUUCCAGACUAAUAGGGAUAAUUUCCUCUCUCAGUCGGGCUGGGUCUUUACCCUAAACGGAGGAGCAAUUUCUUGGAAGAGUUCCAAGCAAGAGACAGUGGCAGAUUCUACUUGUGAAUCAGAGUAUAUUGCAGCUAGCGAGGCAGCAAAGGAGGCGAUAUGGCUGAAGAACUUCAUUGGAGACCUUGGAGUUGUACCAGCUAUUAAAGAGCCAAUGGAAAUUUUCUGUGAUAGUGAAAGUGUUGUUGCCUUAGCCAAGGAACCAAGGGAUCACGGGAGAUCCAGACACAUCGACAAAAAAUAUCAUUUUAUCAGACAUCGCAUAGAAGAAGGAAUCCUCGUGGCAAAGAGGGUAUCAUCGGAUGAGAACCCAGCAGAUCCCCUCACGAAGGGACUGAGUAGGGUUAAGCAUCUCCAGCAUGCUCGGAGCAUAGGGAUGAAGGAUGAUAUAAGUUUUAGUAGUUAGAUACAUUAUGAAAUUUGUAAAGUGUAAUUGACAUUUGAUGAUGAAUAAAACUUGUGUUUAUUUAUGAAUAAAGUGUUACUAUCUUUUGUCAAUCGUUUACUAUAUUUCUUUUGCAUGUUUUGACUUCCACAAUAAUUAUGUUUGGUAUAUAAUAUUAUUCAAACUUCCACAGUCGGUCAUAUGUCGGAAGUAGGUAUGAAUCAAGACUGUCAUGAUUGGUUGCAGAGGUCUAAGAUGUUGGACAUGGCUACAGCAAUCAUGAGUGCUCAUAAGUUAUGAGUAUUGGAAUCAACCCACGCUCACUGGAAUCACUUCAUGGAAUUUUAUCUCGAGUGAUCGUGAGACGGUAAUAUCAUAUAAGUCUUCAAACGUAGAGAUAUGAUUUGUUGCCUAUGAAUUGAUUGAACGAAAACGCAUUGGUAACUCGAUGUUAUAAAACGUGCUUUUGUGUAUAAUUCAACUAGUAGUAGAACAAACAUAUGAGUCGAAGUUUAUAUGUUCCUUCUUGGAUUAGAACCUGAUAUUUGGGACCCUCAAUGAUUUUGUUUUGACCUAUGUACCAGGCCUGGUCAGAACUAAGUUGAUGUGUUCAAUUAAGUUGAUGUGUUCCAUUAAGCACUUAUUAGGGUUUUAGCGAAACCCUGCAUACACCCAGCAUAAAUCUCGUACGCCCAGUGUAUUUGGUCAACCACCCCGAUGGUGGUCAACAUCAGGACGAGUACGCCCCGCAUACCAGAGGAGUACGCCCCGCGUACGUCCUCUGUUGGGCCUUUGGCAAUUGGGAUUCUGGUAUUGGGUUGUUUAUGGACUAGUUGGAUUUGGGCCUUUGCAAGACUUUAUGAAUAUAAUGUUUUGGGCCAAGUUUUGAUAAUGGAUCUUGGAAUUAGGCCCAAUUAGGGAGUUGGGCCCAAUUUGGUAAAUUGGGCCAAUAAUAGGCUUGGCGUAAGGACUUUCAAGGUUAUGGAAUUGGCAUUGGGCCUUGGCCCAAUAAAGAGACUGGUCAUGAUGGAUUGUGUGUACCCCUUAGUAAAGAUUGUUAUGUUGUGUAAUGACUUGGUAUUUAUUAUUUGGAUAGUUUGGGAUCUUUGGUGAGGCAGCGAUUCGGGAGUUCGAUUCUUCAGUUCGGAUCAGCUUUGCGAGGUGAGUUUUCCUCACUAUACUCAAGGAUCUAAGGCACCAAGGCCGACCCUUUUAGAUUGCUAUCCUGAUAUGUAUAUUCUCGAGUGUUGUUAUGAUUGUUAGAUCAGUAUCCUAGUAGAUAGGAUGUUAUAUGUUGUUAUGAUAUGUUAAAUCAGUAUCCUGGUAUAUAGGAUGUUAUAUGCUGUUAUGAUCCGUGAGAUCAGUAUCCUGGUAGAUAGGUGUUGGAUAAGGUGUCUAAGUCCAUAACUAUUUCUGGUAAGUACUUGACCCGACCCGGCAUGGUCCAUUUGGGUUGCAUGGCACCAUGCAAUUGGAUAAACUAAAUGAGAGAAAUAACACAUAUGGUUUAUUAAUAUAUUAUAAGUUCUAAUAUAUUAAUAAUAUUAUUUAAUUAGUUUUGAUCAAGAAUUAAUUUAGAAUUAAUUAAGUGAUCAAAAGAUAACUAAUUAGAUAUAUGGGUAGAUUAAGUAAAUCUUCCAUAUCUUAUAUAGUGGACUAAGAUGCUCCAUGGAUUAUCAAGUUGGGUUCCACCCAUAAGAUGCUCCAUGGAUGCUCCAUGGAGUUAACCCAUGGAUCAAGAAAUGAAGAGUCAUGGAACAUUAGGGUUUACCUAAUGCCACACACUAUAUAAGCAAUGUAACUCUCCCCAAAAUCGGCCACACUAAGAAACAAGAGGGCUUGGCCGAUUUUGCAUGUGUUAAAGUAUUCUCUCAAGUUUAUUCUUUGCAUUUGGUGUUGUGUGAAGCAUUUGAGGCAUCACACUUGAGGUGCCAAGUUCACAAGCUUUCAAGGAACACUUUCAACAACAAGGUAUGUAGUUCUAUCUUUUAUACAAAGAAAAUUGUACCCCAUGUAUGCUAGAUAGGUUCAUAACCUUGGAAAACAACUUUUCAUGAUUAUUAGACAAACAUAGAUCCAAGGUUAUGAGGUUUGCAUGUACACUUAGGAAGUGUUAGAAUGCUCAAAACCCAUCAAUAGGAUGUUAUAUGUUGCCAUGAUCUGCAAGAAUAGAGAUAUGAGAAAUAUAAGAAGGAUGGAAGGAACAUCCGGGGGUGGAUGACUUUCAUGUACAAUAUCAUAACAAUUGAAAAAAAGAGAUCAAAGCAAAUACAACCAUCAUAUAUAUAUAUAUAUAUAUAUAUAAUUGAAAAAGUUACAUCAUUGUAAGUGUUACAUAUUUCAAAAGUCAAUUACAAUAUGAUAAUACAAGAUUUGUUUGGCGCCUUAGCGUCCCAUCCUUAAAAGCUAGUGGUUACCUGUUUUAAUGAUUCCCUAAGAAUACAAGUUGUUUUGAAAAAGUGUCAACAAUUAAGUCGGUGAGUCCAUAAGAGUUUGUAUGAAUAAUUGUAAGCCUUUUCGUGUAAAGAAAUCGUGUUUGUUUUCAGAAAAUCCAAUAUUUUCCAUAAAAUGAGUUGUAAGCAGUUUACUUGUAAAAUGAAGGUGUUCGUUCUAGAAAAUCCAAUAUUUUCCGUAGAAAUGAGUUGUAGUUUUAAAGGUUCCAAGAUCGAAAGGAACCAAUGUUUGCCAUUUAAAAUAGUAAAAUGUAGUUUUAUUCGUGUAUAAAACUGUUUGAAGAAAUGUGUUUUUGUGUAAAAAUAUACAUAUGGUCGUUUCCCUAUGUGAGUUUUCAUAACCAUGCUAAAAAUGAAUUGUCUUCCGCGACAUUCUUCAGGCGUCGAAGUGUGUAUGAUAUUUGUCACCCAUAACCUGCCGGUAUGACUGUAGCUAACAGUCAGGGUGUGGGAUCAUCAGUCUCAUAUAGAUCUAUACACAAGUAUGACGCUCUCUUACGGGAGAUUCUGGUUAUGAAACCGGACUUUCGUGUAUACCUCAAUUAGGUACGAUGAAGACAAUGUCUUACAAAUUUAUUCAACGAGAGUACAUGUUUUUGUAAUGAAAAUGUUUGUAUAUGUAAUUAUCCCCUUUUUCCAGGAUAAUUAAGGUAUGGCGUAAAACAGUUAUAUAUGUACUUUAUAUAAUUACACCCUUAGCUCAACGGGUUACAAAGGCGGUAAAAUUUCGUAAACUAUAUUUAUAUAGUUUAAUGUAGCAAAUGUUUUGUACUAUAUAUAUAUAUAUAUAUAUAAGAAUAAUGUGGUGUAUUUUGCACUCGUUUUUCAUAUCUUUACGUUUUUAUCAAAACAUUAUAUGUAAAAAUAUAUGAGGUUGUUAGUAAAGUUGUUUCACGUAUUACACUUUUUGUAAGAAUAGUAAAUAAACGUAUUUUAAAUUUUGCAUUCUAACAUAAAUUUUCUUGUGUGUUACUUGUAUUCCUCCCCCCUCCCCCCCAAAACAAAAAAAAGUCUUGAAAAAUGUUGGGGUAUGAACUCACAUCGAGUGUGUUCUUGGCAAGAUAACAAGGUAAAAACGAUGAUCUUCGAGUUUGAAUACGUAAAGAUAGUCGUAUCCUAAUGGUUUUAAACACAUAAUGACAUGUGUAAAUUAGAUGAAACUAAUAUUAAAGAGCAUUGAACACUGUAUUAACAAGAAGAUACUUACAACAAUUCCUAAGGAAUCAACUUGUGGUAUUAACUUCCUGGAAGAUUUGAAUGUGUUACAUGGGAUUAAUAUAUCAAUGUUGAAGGUGCUUCUUUGAGAGAAUUAUGGUGAAGAUGUUUUAACUGAGAAGUGUUUUGAAGGGGCUCUAAACGUGAUUAUAUAGGGUAAAUAGGAGGAUAAGGUGAAGUCACAUUUGCCUUGAUAUGUGUAAUUAUCUUCUUGGGGAAAUAAUCCACCAAUCAAGUUGCACGUUAUCUAGAUAUUUGGGAAGAUUUCGGCCAAGCAUUAACCAAAUAAAAGGUGAUUUCGGCCAACACCAACCGAAAUCACUUGUGAUUUCGGUCUUGGCUCAAACCAAAAUCAACAUGGCGAUUUCGGUCUUGGUCCAACUGAAAUCACAUGUAAUUUCGGUCUAGUGCCAACCGAAAUCCCAUGUUCUUUGUGGUUUGACUCUUUUGACCUUUGACUCAUUUAAUUCAUUGUUGACUUGUUGACUUGGGAAAGUUUACUACAUCAUGGUUUUUAACAUAUCUAAACAUAUUAACUUAUAUAAACAUGCCCACUUGGCUUUCAAACUUCUAUUGCAUCAAGUUACAUUGUGAAUUCACUUGUACAUGGUUAAAAUUUAGACCUUGCUUGUUCUAGAAUUUUCCAGUUGUCACAACUUCUCCACAAACGGAAGUUCUCAUUACCAGUAAGUCUUAAAGUGACAAUGGUGGUUGUUGCAUUAUCUGAGGGAUGAAUGUAAAGGGUAUCAUCGAAGUUAAUUGGAUUCGAGUCAUCCUUUCCACUUCCCUCAGGAGGAGUAUUAGGACCAACCAUAGAAACAAAUUAUACACAAAUAAGCAAAUAGAUAAGCAAACACAAUAAGAAAAAUACAAACAAUUGUAUUUACCUUAAAGUCUAGAUGGUCACCACGUUUCUAAUACAAAGUCGAAAAACACACAUGAAAAAAGCACAAUGAAAUAAAAGAGAAAAUAAGGACAAAAAAUAACUGGUGUACUCAAGACACAAGGAUCUCUUAGAACUACAACUAAUAAAGAAGAUAUAAGAGAACGACAAAGCCUCACAAAGGUCCAGUGCAACUUCAAAAUCCAUAUAACCGCUCACCUCUCCUAGAGUUCGUUCCGUAUUAGAGUUAUUUUAGAUCGAAGAUCUGUUCUCUAAAAAGAAUUAAUCAACCCUAAAUUUGAGAUUGGGUGAGGAGACAUAGAGCAGAGAAUCAACAUCAUCUCUGAGGAGAUUUUCCAACACCACAGAUCCUUCAUGACCAGAGAAACGAUCCACCAUAACUGCAAGAGUAAACGAAAGACUCGCAAUAACCGAAUUCACACAAAAGUAACUGAUAAAAGAAAAGAACACAAGUAACCCUAAAUCAAACACCAUCGAUGUCAAAUCUACAAGGUUACAAGAAGCAAUAACAACCACAAGAAGGAAACCCUAUAACUGACACAAUCGGUGUCAGGUCUACAAGGUUACACAACCAAAUAGCAGAAAAUAGAAGAAAAUUUGUGGAAGAACAAGAAAAAAAAAGAAAAAAACCUGAUAAAUCAUCAUUGAUCUUCGAUAAACGUCACCAACAACCAACCGGAAUCUCCAGUGGCUCUAAUUCCAUGUUAGAAAGUAUAAACGAGACAGAUACAACACAUUCCCAACAUCAUUAAUUUAUUUAUUUAUGAAUGAGAUGGUUUACAUCAACAAUAUACAACUGAAACCUCACUAUAGAUUCUCUCACACUCAGAAGGUAUAUAAGAUGCACAAGAACAUAAAUGGAGUACAAAGAUCAUUAAGAAACCCUAAACUGAACAAACCCUAACUGUGUAUAAGAAUACCAUGAAGCGAGAGGAAACACACAUAAUCUGUAAGUGAAGGAAUAAACGAAUAAAACAUUUGCAACUCUCGAGUACAAUAUAUACUCGGGUCAACGAAUAUGGUUGGACACCUGUCGGGUACCCAUGACCCCCAUGUUUCUAUUAACCUGCAAAUGAAAACAACUAACACCCACUACAUUCAAGAACUUAUAAUUCUUACCCUUAAAUAAAAUAAAUUACUUUUAAAGAACAAAUGAUGAUGAUAAGUUUGAUAUUGAGUAUAUACUUUCAACAAAUCUUUUUAUAUGCACAAUUACAAAUGCAACAGGGGUAACAAUAAUAGUAAAAAAUAGUAACUAUUUUACAAAACAUAACAAAAACAACAUGAGAUGGUGCAGGAGCGGGUCGAUGAUGACACUGGGGAAGCCCAGUCAACCAAUAGGGGGAAAAAAUUUCAUUCGCUUGUUUAACUGCUAAGAAUAAUUUUAUCUUUCGACUGGGAACUGCUUACCUUUGGCGCUUUCUAUUUUUUUAUAUAAGGUAGUAAUCCCAUAGAGGCAAGGGCGAUCAAAGGCUUUGUGGUUGUCACGAACUGGAUUCUAACCAGCUCCUCUGGGAGCAAAAGACAGGCCCAACGAACUACCAUUCAUUCGGAUCGCGACUUGGUUACCUAGUUCCCCUAUUGUGAGGGUACAUCUGGGGCCAGCUGCAUGGACCUACUUACCAUGCUAGUUGACUAGUGACUUGCUUGUUGGUUCGCGAGUCUGCUUCUCGUUUGAUCCGUGGUCUGCCACCGAUAGGUGGCCAAUCGUGUUUCUUGAGAGGGUUGUAUCCAAGUUAUUCGACUACGAUUUAUCCGAAGCGGUUAGUUUCUUGUUAUCUUGUCUAGUGGUGAAUUUAAUGCCCCGUGGGUGACGACCCCGGGAUCUACUGUCAGUAUGAGUGGGUACCCGUAGGGCUAUCUUGGUGCAUGGCCUCUUUUCGUGUUGUCCCGCCACCUAAUUAUUUGGUGGUGUGUAGAACUUGUGUACCCGGGAAGGGUGUUUACCAACUACGCCGUCCCCGGGGAUGACGUAGUAAUCGCGGAUGAGAAUGUCGCGACCCGUUACAAGGAGUCCCUAGACACUUUGGAUUCGGCGAGCUACUCCGCUUUCACAUUCAGAUUAGAGAAAGAUGGUUACUACAUUGAUAGAGGCAUACAAGUAUUCGUUUAUCCCAAUAGUAAUAGCCCACGGAGCAGUAAUUUAGUGGUCCUUAACAAUUAAGAAGAACUAGAACAUGAAUUUGUAUUGUUGUUCGAUGACAUAUAUGGUGGUGUUCGACAAUAUUCUUAAUGUACAAGUAACAAUGCCUCUAUUAGCUAUAACUUUUAUUGGUCGGAUACUUAAAAAGACUUUGAUAUGAAUGAUCCUUAUGAUUUAUAAAUGCAUCAUCGUUGCUCUCUUUUGUUGUUAUCUUCAAUCCCUUACAAUUAAAGGGCCUCAUGUUCCCCUCAUACCAAGUCAUUUCCGUAAAGAAACAAUUGUCCAUUUUUCGUUGAAUGCUCAUCGUAUGAAAUUUGGAAUUGUUAGUUGUUGCUUAUGUUCUAUUUGGUAAACUAUAUUUUUUUUCUUGAUUUGAUUUAUGUUUUAUGGGUGCCAUAUGUUUUUUUUCAUCAUAUGGUAUUAUGUUGCUGCAAGUUUGUUGAAUUGGUAUUGUGUUUGAAAUUAUAUUGCAAUCACAUAAAUUCAAGUAUCCACAUAAUUCUUGGAAUGACAUUGAAAUAUGUUUUUUUGUCUAACAUGAUUACAUUAUCUUAAAAAUAGUAUUUGUAACUUUUAUGAUCAUUUAACGAUUGCACUGUAUUUUUGAAUGGUUUAAACACUUGUUAAGGGUUACUAUGUGUAAUAAUCUCACCAUUUCGUCUCCACAAAAUUCUUUUGACAAUAAGUGGAUAAAAUUUUACAAUUUUAUUUGGCUAAAAUUCAGUAAUCAUAUCUGAAUCCAUUUGACCAUUACAUUGUAAAAUAUUCUCCAUGGUUUUAAAUUAGCCAUUUCAGUAAGUAAACAAAAAAAUUCACUUUUAUCAUCACUUAACUACCAAACACGACAAAAAAAAAUCGCUUUUACUUGAAAAAAGUACGUCUAAAAACCAAUACAUUAGUAAAAAUUACUAAAGAAAAUAAUAAUGAAAAAAACCCAACUAACAUAAAACAUGAUAUUAUAUACCUUACAACUUUUAGUGAGUCUUUAAGUCUGUUCUUCAAGCUUAGCAAACCUAGAAUAAUGUCUAUCGACAUACUGUAUAUUGGCAGGUCAAUCCAUCCAAUAAAGUUGUACUUCGAGCCAAACAUAGAACAACUUUAGAAUCUCUCAUUUGGGUUGAGGUUAGUCUAUGGUGUGAUGAUGAUCUUCUUGCUUCCACAUGACCAUUUAAUGUUUCUUUGAUUGAUCAAUUGUAGCUUCAUAACUGUAGAAGAUAAUGUAAAAGGGAAAUAUGUUUUUAAUCUAGCAAGUUUAAUAUAGAUGUUGAAAGUAGAAAGGGAUAAGUAAAAGACAAAACUUUAUAAAUGGUCCAUAUGGUAUCUCGAAAUCUAAAGUUUAGUCCCUAAGUUUAAAAGACCUCACAGGUGGUCCCUGUGGUUUCAAAAAUUUUAAUGUUUGGUCCUUAUGCCUAACUUCGUCAACUUUCUAUAGUUAAAUGAAGGGUAUUUUCAUCAUUUCACUACCCCAAUUACCAUUUAUGAGGUUUUGACUUAUUUAAAACAAAAGCAAAAAGAAAAUAUAUUAUUUAAUAAAGGGUCCCACCCACCCUCCUUCCAUCCCCUUUCUUUCUUUCUCUCUCUAUCUAUAAAGACAGACACAUACACACACAUCUCUAUCUCUUUCUCUCAACAACAACACACACACACAAACUCUGAUAAACCAGAUCGAGAACACUUCUUGUUUUUUAUAAAAUCGUGAGAUACAUUGUGCCAACAGACCCACCCCUAUUCUUUGACAAUCGACUCCAUCCUAUUUUCUCAGUCGUUCUGUCAUACUAUUCCAGCCGGUAAACCUUAACCACCUUCGUCGUUGACCUUCUUGCUGGUAAGUACUUCACCCUUAAAAUCCAACGAUCACCUCCUUACGAUGGUAUAUGCCUUAUUUCUCCCUAUAUACCUGUCAAUACCCCCUCAUUUGUUGAGAAACAGAUUAAAAAGAAAAAAUCUGCAAAGGAAACCUGAAGAACAAAAUUUGUUUGAUCCAUUCCUUUAUUCUCACCGAGAAAUCAAUAAUCCCAAAUCAAACGAUCAAGAAACAUUAAACCAAAAUAUUGUUGGAUAAGGUGUCUAAGUCUAUAACUAUACUUGGUAUGAACUUGACCCGACCCGGCAUGUCCAUUUAGGUUGCACUUCACCUAACUAUUUAUAUGGAUAUAUUUUUGAGAAUAAGAUGUUUAUGAUCUAUUAAUAUAUUAUAAGUUAUAAUAUAUUAAUAUGAAAUCAUAUUAUUUAAUUAGUGUUGAUCAAGAAUUGAUUUUUGGAAUUAAUAAAAUGAUUAAAAGAAGCUAAUUAAAUAUAGACUCUUACAUAUAUACGGAAUGGGCUAAGAUUUAUUUAGGACGGGCUAAGAGUAUAUGGAAGUCCAUGGAUAGUCCAUGGAGCUUUUAACCCAUGGAUCCUAGGUAAAUGAAGAGUCAUGGGUAUUAGGGUGUAACCCUAGUCCUCCAUAGUAUAUAAAGAGGUCCUUGGUUCUAGAAUUGGCACUAGUGUGUGUGAGAAACAAGGGUGGGCCGAUUUUAGCAAGCAUCAUAUUCUCUCAAGUAUUUCCAAGUAUUUACAAGUACCUAUUAACAUGCUAGUUAGGUUGUAAACCUUGGAAUUCAAAUUUGCACGUAUUUUAGAGAAAACAUAGAUCCAAGGUUUCUAGGGUUGCAUGUACACCAUAGGAGUGUUAGAAUGCUCAAAACCCAACAGUGGUAUCAGAGCCUAGGGUUGUUUUCUUGAUACUUGAUGCAACUUGUUAAAAAAAGCUCAAAAAUCUACUAUCUGCUGCAUGAACUCGUCGAGUCCAUGGGGGGACUCGACGAGUCCAUGUGAUAAUUCAUCCUACUCGUCGAGUAGGAGCCCCUAAUUGCAGUUUUUCGAGUUUCUCUGCUGGAAAUGGACUAGAAACGUUGCCCUAAACUGUUUUGGUGUUUUAAAACUUUUUUUUAGAUGGUGUAAUGUUUAUGCUAAUCCAUUUACAAAGGGUAAUAUCAAAAUUCCAUAUUUUAUAUGUGUUAAUAUGAUUCUUGAAAUUUUGAUAUGAAUGUUCAUGUUGUUAUGAGUUAUUGUUAGAUCAUAGGGAUUAUUUGCUGAAUUGUUUAAUGAUUAAUUCUUGAUCAAUUAUGUGUUUUAAUGGAAUCCAUAAUUUGUCCUCAAGUUAUGGAUUACCAAAAGUCUCUCUUUUAAAGUCCAUAUAAAAAACACAUAGGUUACAUAAAAUGAAAAGUCACUCAUUUUAAUAAACCAUUAACUCAUAAGUUAUGAAGUUAAUUGAAAAGUCUUGAAUAGUUUCAAAAUUUUCCCUCAAGUUUGGAAUUUGUAAAGUCUCACACAUUAAUACUUUAAUUCCAAAUUGAACCUUAGAAUUUUAUAGUUUAAAAUUCAACCCUUAUACUUCUAUAAUAUUAUAAGUUUAAUUAUUAUAUAUAUGUAUAAGAAUAAGUCAGUCUUACUGUUAGUAGGCCUCAUUCACGAAGCCAGUUUAUAAAGGGGGUAUAAGGUUACUACUUAUAAAAUGGAGGUUUAAUGGGUGUCCACUCUCACCCACCGCUUCCUUUAAUGGUGGAGGGUCGUUAGUCGAACAGGUAGGAUAGGACUUUAAUCCUCAUUAAAAGUAUAAUGAAAUUAUAAAGUAACUAAACCUUUAUUAAUUCCCAAUCUUAAUUACUUUAGGAAAAUAUGAAAUAGGUGCUAACCCAUGAAUUUACACUUUGUAACUUACCAAGUCGUUAGUGGAGCGUGUGUGGUUAACCGACACACUAACAAGGAUUAGUAAGAGUGGCAAAAGGUGACUUAAGUUUUAUCAUAGAUCGGUGGAGCGUGUGUGGUUAACCGGCACAUUGAUUGGGUGAUAAAAUUAAGGGUACCAAGUCAAUUUGCAUGGUUAUUCAUACCUUGUUUAUGAUCCUCGGCAUCCCAGUCACAAACUUGAGAGGGCACAAUCGAGAUUUAAACAUUCCAUUGAAAGUACAAUGUAUCUCAAAAGAUCUAGGAGUUUCAAAUACAAUUAAAACUUAAUAAUUUAUUUUGUUUAUAAUGGUGGAAAUUGGUAAAUCGUCAUUUACCUACCUUCAAAUAUUUUAUAGCUUGUAUUACGACAUCCCUCUUCCAAGUUAUGAAAUAGUUUGUAGGAUCCUAGCCUUAAUAUUUCAUUUGGGUGUUUUAUAGCUUGGAUUACGGCAUUCCUCUUCCAAGUUAUGAAAUAGUUUGUAGGAUCCUAGACUUAAUAUUUCAUUUGGGUGACUUAUUAAGGACUUCUUAUCUAAUUAAAACUUGUCUUUCUUUUCUUUCAGAUGUCUUCCAACACUGCUGCUGGCUCAAACGCUACAAGUUCCUUUUCCCUCAUAAACUUAUGUGGGAAGGUCACUUUUGAUGGUUCUAAUUUCAAUGAAUGGAUUAGGAACAUCAAAAUGAUUACCUGCUAUGAGGACAAGGAAUAUGUCCUUGACAGGGAGCUUAAGGUUAUCAAUGAGUCCACUGCUACUCCUGAGGAGAUUGUGGAGUAUGUUGCACAUGAGAGGGAUGCUACUAAGGUGUCCUGCAUUAUGUUGGCUACUAUGACUCCCGAACUCCAGAAAUCCUAUGAAGAUUUAUACCCCUAUGAGAUGCACCUGGAUCUGAUGGAUAGGUCCCAUUAGAGCGCGCAUCAAGAUAGGUAUGAAAUCAUCUCCUCCAUAAUAACAGCUAGGAUGAAGGAUGGUGAAACCAUCACCGAUCACUUGCAAAAAAUGCAAAGGUUUGUGGACCGGUUGCUGAAACUUAAUGUGGACUUCCCUGAGGACAUGGCGAUUGAUAUCAUUCUCCAUUCCUUACCUCCAAGUUAUGAUCAGUUUCGUAUGACUUAUCAUAAACAAGGAGGAAGUUACACUCAAUAAACUUCAAGGACUUUUAAGGACCGCUGAAAGUGGCCUUAAAGGUAAAUCGGUUGUUACUUCUACUCCUACUCCUACAACAGCCCUUGUUCUGGCAAUUAGGUAGGGAAAGGGGAAGAAGAGGAAGACCCCUUCGAAGGGUACUAAGGGAAAGUAUCUUAAUGGCUCCUCUUCAGGUGGGACCAAGAAAGGUCCCAUUCCUCCUUCUUAAAACCCAAAGGAAGUACAAUGCUUCUACUGCCACGAAAAGGGGCACUAGAAGCGAAUCUGCCCUAAGUACUUGCAGGAUGUAAAGGAUGGGAAAGUUAAACCCACCCAUGUAGGUAUUUAUACCAUAUUGUCUACAAACUCAUUCCAUACUAACUCUUGGGUGCUUGAUACAGGUUGUGGUAUUUACAUUUGUACUGAUUUGCAGGGCCAAAGAAGUAGUGAAGAAGUGGAGCACGAGAAGAUAAACUUAAUCAUGGGCAAUAGGAUAGCAUCACCUAUGACCAAGAUUGGAGUUUAUUCUUUAUUGCUUAAUAAUGGGUUAACUUUAGAUUUGAAUAAAUGUUGUUACUCGUCAGAAAUGACGAGAAAUAUUAUUUCCUUUCAUAGUUUGUACAAGCAAGGAUUCACAUUUUCAUUUAAUAAUAAAAUUGGUGCUAUUGAUGCUUUUUAUAAUGAUGUGUUUUAUUUUAGAGAAUUACCUUGAUGGUGUAUAUGAAACUGUGUCGAUUGUAGACAACUUAGAAAACAAUGUAUUUCAUAUUGAUUCUUCGAUUACCUUGGAUAAAGCAUCCUUGUGGCAUUGUCAUCUUGGACAUGUCAACAAGAAGCGUAGAGGUCAACUCCAGAAGGCUGGAGUUUUGGAAUCAUUUGACCUAAAAUCAGAUGAUAGUUACGAUUCUUGCUUGCUUGGAAAAAUGACAAAGUCACCCUUCACUGGUUCUUGUGAGAGGGGUGAAGGUUUGUUGGACCUCAUACACACAGAUGUGUGUGGACCCUUCAAAACCGCCACAAGAGAUAUCGUUAUUAUGUGACUUUUACUGAUGAUUACAGUAGAUAUGGAUAUAUCUACUUAAUCAAGCAUAAGUCAGAAAUCUUUGAAAAAUUCAAAGAGUUUAAGCAGGAAGUGGAGAAUCAACUGGGCAGGAACAUCAAGAUGCUCUGAUCCGAUCGGGGAGGAGAGUAUCUUAGUAUUGAGUUCCUUGACUAUCUUAAGGAAUGUGGGAUCGUCUCACAAUUGACAUCUCCUAGGACACCACAGCUGAAUGGUGUGGCUGAGAGGCGCAAUCGAACCUUGUUGUAUAUGGUUCGUUCCAUGAUGAGUCAAGCUUCGUUACCAAUCAAUCUCAUUCUGGGGGUGUGCCUUAGAGACUGCCGCCCAUAUCCUUAAUCUAGUCCUUACCAAAAUGGUUGCCAAAACACCUCAGGAGAUGUGGAUUGGGAAAGUUCCCAAUCUAGACCACAUCAAGAUUUAGGGUUGCGAGGCUUUUGUGAGGCGCGAGUCUCAUGACAAGCUCGAACCUCGAAGUAAGAGGUGUAUUUUCAUCGGCCACCCACAAAAAUCCUUUGGUUACCUCUUCUACAUACCUAGUGAGAAUGUGGUCUUUGUGGCAAGAAGAGGAGUCUUUCGUGAGAGAGAAUUUAUAAGCCAAGGAGACAGUGGGAGGCAAAUUGACCUUGAAGAGAUUCAAGAGUUAAGUGGUGAAGGAACCUCAAACACUAGCGACCAACCUGAGAAGGAAACUCCUGUUGAGCCGAUAGAUGAGUCCGUACCUCCGAGGCGUUCUACUAGAGUUAGGAACACACGUGAUUUUUAUUAUGGUUAUCACAUCACUACUGAAGGUGAUACAUUUAUCAGUGACAGUACACUGAUAGAUUUGGAUGAACCUAAUAAUUACAGGGAAGCCAUGGCAGGACCCGAGUCUGCUAAAUGGAAGGAGGCUAUGGACAGCGAGAUUUAGUCCAUGUAUGACAAUUAAGUUUGGAACUUGGUUGAAAAUGUAUUGGGUCGUAAGACAGUUGGGUGCAAAUGGAUCUUCAAGAAGAAGAUCGACAUGGAUGGGAAGGUACACACUUACAAAGCGCGACUGUUUGCGAAGGGCUUUACUCAAACUCCGGGAGUUAACUAUGAUGCGACCUUCUCACCAGUAGCGAACAUUAAGUCUAUUAGAGUUCUGCUAGCCAUAGUUGCAUUUCAUGAUUAUGAAAUAUGGCAAAUGGAUGUCAAAACCGCUUUCCUUAAUGGAAAGUUGGUUGAGGAUAUUUACAUGAAUCAGCCAGAGGGUUUUGUCGAUGCAAAGUACCCUAAUAGAGUGUGUAAGCUUGAAAAAUCCAUUUAUGGAUUGAAACAAGCACCCGUAGAUGGAAUCUUUGCUUUGAUGAGAAAGUCAAAGAGUUUGGCUUUUUGAGGCGCGAGGAUGAGUCUUGUGUAUAUGUUAGGGCUAGUGGGAGUAUAGUUAGCUUUUUGGUACUGUAUGUGGAUGACAUACUACUCAUAGGAAAUGACAUCCCAACUUUUCAGGAGGUUGAGUCCUGGCUUGGGAAGUGUUUCACUAUGAAGGACCUUGGAGAAGCUGCCUAUAUCCUAGGGAUAAUGGUACUAAGAGACAGGAGUAAAAGACUAAUUGGACUCAGUCGGAGUACCUACUUGGAUAAAGUGUUGAAGAAGUUCAACAUGGAGAAUUCCAAGAAAGGGGAGUUACCGAUCCAACACAAUGCCAGACUGAGUAAAACUCAAAGUUCGAGUACAGAGGCUGAGAUAGCUGAGAUGAGUCGAUUACCAUAUGCUUCCGUUGUUGGAUCGAUCAUGUAUGCUAUGACUUGUACUCGCCCUGAUGUGGCCUUUGCCUUGAGCAUGGUCAACAAAUAUCAGGGAAACCCUGGCAAGGCUCACUAAACUACGGUAAAGAAUAAGUACCUGCGGAGGACUAAGGACUG